UACGUAGGGGGCAAGCGUUGUCCGGAAUCAUUGGGCGUAAAGAGCGUGUAGGCGGCUUGGUAAGUCCGCUGUGAAAGUCCAGGGCUCAACCCUGGAAAGCCGGUGGAAACUGUCAAGCUCGAGUCCGGAAGAGGCGAGUGGAAUUCCUGGUGUAGCGGUGAAAUGCGCAGAUAUCAGGAAGAACACCCGUGGCGAAGGCGGCUCUCUGGGACGGUACUGACGCUGAGACGCGAAAGCGUGGGGAGCAAACAGGG
rnacentral:rRNA from 1 species